rnacentral:tRNA from 1 species
UGCCCGAUGGUGUAACGGUAGCACAACUGAUUCUGGUUCAGUUUGUCUAGGUUCGAAUCCUGGUCGGGCAGCCA